UCAAGCCUGCGAGUCUUGUAGUAAUACAGGCAGACGGAUCUGUAACGCGUAGUCCCUUUUACCCUAUGGACGGGGAUAACCUCGGGAAACUGAGAACCUUCCCGAUAGAACAUUAUGCCUGGAAUGGUUUAUGUUCCAAAUGAUUUAUCGCCGUAGGAUGGGACUGCGGCCCAUCAGUUUGUUGGUGAGGUAAUGGCCCACCAAGACUAUUACAGGUACGGGCUCUGAGAGGAGUGGCCCGGAGAUGGGUACUGAGACACGGACCCAGGCCCUAUGGGGCGCAGUAAGCGAUAAAACUUUGCAAUGUGCGAAAGCACGACAAGGUUAAUCCGAGUGGUUUCUGCUAAAGGAACCUUUUGUCGGUCCUAGAAACACCGAUGAAUAAGGGGUGGGCAAGUUCUGGUGUCAGCCGCCGCGGUAAAACCAGCACCUCAGGUGGUCAGGAUGAUUAUUGGGCCUAAAGUAUCCGUAGCCUGCGCUGUAAGUUUUCGGUUAAAUCUGUACGCUCAACGUACAGGCUGCCAGGAAUAAUUGCAGAGCUAAGGGAGUGGGAGAGGUAGACUGUACUCCGGUAUGAAGGGGGUAAAAUUCUUUGAUCUAUUGAUGACCACCUGUGGUGAAGGCGGCCCACCAGAGAUAGUGCUACGGUGAGGGGAUGAAAGCUGGGGGAGCGCCCGGAUUAGAUCCCGGGAAGUCCCAGAUGUAAACCAUGUAAAUUCAGUGAUGCAUUGGUUUGAGUUUCUUGUAUUGGCUGCAAGUAAGCUUUAAGUUACCCCCUGGCA
rnacentral:rRNA from 1 species